CCCUCAAUGGCUCAGUAGCCAGUGUAGAUCCUGUCUUUUGUAAUCAGUAGCUACAUCUGGCUACUGGGUCUCUGAUGGCAUCUUCUAGCU
rnacentral:ncRNA from 3 species